GACAGAGGGUGCGAACGUUGUUCGGAAUUACUGGGCGUAAAGAGCGUGUAGGCGGCUCUGCAAGUCGGGCGUGAAAUCCCACGGCUCAACCGUGGAAGUGCACUCGAAACUGCAGAGCUAGAGUCCUGGAGAGGAAGGUGGAAUGCUUGGUGUAGAGGUGAAAUUCGUAGAUAUCAAGCGGAACACCGGUGGCGAAGGCGGCCUUCUGGACAGUGACUGACGCUUAAGCGCGAAAGCGUGGGGAGCAAACAGG
rnacentral:rRNA from 2 species